CCUACGGGUGGCAGCAGUAGGGAAUCUUUCACAAUGGGCGAAAGCCUGAUGGAGCAACGCCGCGUGCAGGAUGAAGGCCUUCGGGUUGUAAACUGCUUUUAUAAGCGAGAAAUAUGAUGGUAACUUAUGAAUAAGGAUCGGCUAACUACGUGCCAGCAGCCGCGGUCAUACGUAGGAUCGGAGCAUUAUCCGGAGUGACUGGGUGUAAAGAGUUGCGUAGGUGGCAUAAUAAGUAGCUAGUUGAAUCUGGUGGCUCAACCAUUCAGACUAUUAGCUAAACUGUUAAUCUCGAGACCGGUAGGGGUAACUGGAAUUUCUAGUGUAGGAGUGAAAUCCGUAGAUAUUAGAAGGAACACCAAUAGCGUAGGCAGGUUGCUGGGACGGUUCUGACACUAAGGCACGAAAGCGUAGGGAGCAAACGGGAUUAGAUACCCCUGUAGUC
rnacentral:rRNA from 1 species